rnacentral:rRNA from 1 species
AUGGCAGACCACCUUCAAGUUCAGCGGCAACAACUAAAGUUCCCUCAGGGGUUUAGGUUUCACCCGACAGAUGUGGAGAUCAUCACCUCCUACCUAGUCCCUAAGGUGUUGAACAAAGCAUUCGACCCCAUAGCGGUCGGGGAGGUGGACCUAAACAAAUGCGAGCCGUGGGAACUCCCCGAGAAGGCGAAAAUGGGGGAGAAGGAGUGGUACUUCUUCUCCCAAAAGGACCGCAAGUACCCCACCGGUAUACGGACCAACCGAGCCACGACCGCCGGCUACUGGAAGGCCACUGGAAAGGACAAGGAGAUCUUCCACCACGCGACCACAAGUCUCAUCGGCAUGAAGAAGACGUUGGUCUUUUACAAGGGUAGGGCGCCCAGGGGGGACAAGACCAACUGGGUCAUGCACGAGUAUAGGCUCGAGAGUGGAAAACAAGGAACACCUAGUCUACCCACCGACAUCACCACCGCCACAGCCAUUAAUGCAUCUUCCAAGGAGGAGUAUGUGGUUUGCAGGAUAUUCCAUAAGAGCACUGGACUCAAGAAGGUAGUGAUGUCGUCGUACGCCAUUCCCAUGCCAAUGUCCAUGGGAGCAGAGGAGCAACAUGGAUUCCUUGAAUCCGGUACAUUGCCUCCUUUCAUGGGCUAUGGUGCAUCAUCAUCGCUGGUGCCCCCAUCGUCCCUGCCCGCAUCUUCUUCGUACCAGCUGCAUGACGCUGGGGCCAGAUCGUCAAUGAUGGGUAGUGCGGUGCUCCCGAUGAUGAACGACCACUACUUCGGGAACCACCACUACCAGAAUAUGGCUACCCCACCACGACCGUUGGUGUCGUUCUACCACCAUGACCCCCGCCAGCAGCAACAACAACAACAACACAUGAUUCAAAUGCCGAUGCAGAUGCAGAUAGGUGCAGAUGAGGGCCUCAUGAUCGGGGUCGAGCCUGGGAGCGGGCCGUCAUCCAUAGUGUCGCAGGAGGACACUUUGGCAAGGUUGAGUAGCAACGACGUUGCAACAACUGCUGAUGAGAUCUCGUCAGUGAACAUGGGUACGGAUGGCAUGUGGAAGUACUGA